GGGUCGUAAACUUCUUUUAUAUGGGAAUAAAGUUUUCCACGUGUGGAAUUUUGUAUGUACCAUAUGAAUAAGGAUCGGCUCACUCCGUGCCAGCAGCCGCGGUAAUACGGAGGAUCUGAGCGUUAUCCGGAUUUAUUGGGUUUAAAGGGAGCGUAGGUGGAUUGUUAAGUCAGUUGUGAAAGUUUGCGGCUCAACCGUAAAAUUGCAGUUGAAACUGGCAGUCUUGAGUACAGUAGAGGUGGGCGGAAUUCGUGGUGUAGCGGUGAAAUGCUUAGAUAUCACGAAGAACUCCGAUUGCGAAGGCAGCUCACUAGACUGUCACUGACACUGAUGCUCGAAAGUGUGGGUAUCAAACAGGAUUAGAUACCCUGGUAGUCCACACAGUAAA
rnacentral:rRNA from 1 species